CCUACGGGUGGCAGCAGUGAGGAAUAUUGGUCAAUGGGCGUAAGCCUGAACCAGCCAAGUCGCGUGAGGGAUGACGGUUCUAUGGAUUGUAAACUUCUUUUAUAAGGGAAUAAAGCGUGGUAUGCGUACUGUCUUGUAUGUACCUUAUGAAUAAGGAUCGGCUAACUCCGUGCCAGCAGCCGCGGUAAUACGGAGGAUCCGAGCGUUAUCCGGAUUUAUUGGGUUUAAAGGGUGCGUAGGUGGACUUUUAAGUCAGCGGUGAAAGUUUGUGGCUCAACCAUAGAAUUGCCGUUGAAACUGGGAGUCUUGAGUAUAGUUGAGGCAGGCGGAAUGCGUGGUGUAGCGGUGAAAUGCUUAGAUAUCACGCAGAACCCCGAUUGCGAAGGCAGCCUAC
rnacentral:rRNA from 1 species